rnacentral:rRNA from 1 species
UACGUAGGGUGCAAGCGUUAAUCGGAAUUACUGGGCGUAAAGCGUGCGCAGGCGGUUGUGCAAGACAGAUGUGAAAUCCCCGGGCUCAACCUGGGAAUUGCAUUUGUGACUGCACGGCUAGAGUGUGUCAGAGGGGGGUAGAAUUCCACGUGUAGCAGUGAAAUGCGUAGAGAUGUGGAGGAAUACCGAUGGCGAAGGCAGCCCCCUGAGAUAACACUGACGCUCAUGCACGAAAGCGUGGGGAGCAAACAGG